rnacentral:lncRNA from 1 species
UCAUCCCAUCCAGGGAGAGUAGAAAUACUCCUAGCUACUUCAUGAUACAGAAACGGAGAUACGCUCCAAUGCUGUGGAACACUUAAACCAAGAGCAGACUCAUUUAUCUUUGUGCAUGAACGUUACUUAUCAACCCUACACAGUCUGCCCAGACUAGUUCAUGAUGUUAUAGGUACACACUUUACAAUUACAAGGCAAAGCAAAGUCAACUCAGUUUGAUGAGCUGUUUUAGAAAAACAAGUAAAUAUCUCAGGGCGCUGGAGAAUAUCGAUGUUUAGAUAACCUAAUUUACAUAAAAUGGUCGAAAUGCUUGAAAACACACAAUUAGACUAACGUAUGCGUGGUCAUUUGAGUUGACAAGGUGUCUUUAAUUAUUAAUAUUAUUCCUCAGCAGAACCCAUGCCUGAAGGACAUUCUACAGGUUACCCACCUACUGGUAGCAUUGGUGCUCGUAAAGGAAAACAUCCCAAAGAUGACUCUAAGAAGUUGUCCACUGCUGCCAUCAUUGGUAUCUGCGCAGCUUCUGUGUUUGCCAUCCUGAUCGUGCUGGCUGCUGGAGUGUACUGGAAGAAAUAUCAUCACCGCUCUCGCCUGCGAGCUGCUUACUACAACGACAUAUCAAUGCAUGAUCCCUUGUACGAGGACUUCGGUCCGGAGGUUGCAUAAGCUAGGCAUAGCCCUGAUUUGCACAUCCGCCAUGGCGGAAUUGUAUUGAGAAUGAAUAGUUUUAAAGGAGCUAUGUCUUGAACAGCGAAUCUUGGAAAAAAUUGGCCAACUUUUUCAACUUGCCUUAGUUUCGUUAAUUGUAACGAUUCUUGUUCAUUUUCGGUUUAAUACUUUUCUUUUGUGUUUUUCUACUUUGAAAAGGUGUUAUUUGGAGAUUUGUGUCAAUUUGAAAGUAAUUUUGUACAACAGGAAAAAAAUGACUUGAGGUCUUGCGGCAUAGCUCCUUUAAUGGUAAUCUUUUUUUUUGUUGUUUUUUGUUGUUGUUGUUGUUGUUGUUUAUUUGUUUGUUUUGGGUUCUUUAGGUGCAAUCAGCUUUUAAUAUCACAACAAUUGCUUAUGACGGGUCGUUACUUUAUGAAAGACGCAAUCCUUUGAAAAAUGAGUACAUUUAUUGUUUCAAAAGAUGAAAAAGACUGUUUGUACACAGUUUGUAGCUUUAAUGCUGUGUGUACGAAGCUAUUGUUUCAAACGCAAUAUAGUUAAGAGUCCUAACUGACAGGAGGCUAACCAGUUGCAUGCUGUGUACAUGGUAUGGCCAGUUACUUCAACUCGUCACUACCAAGGACAAAUCGAGUAAGCGGAAAGAUGGCGGGCUUGAACCCGAGAACUCCAGGUUCUAAAACCAGCGCCACAACCGUUUGGCCAAGCUGCUUACCUCCUGCUUUUUUUUCCAUAUUAGCAGAAUGAUGAUUUCCAUAAGUUACUUCACUUUGUUUUGUUUAGUCAAGAGUUGAAGUACGUGUGGAGGGGACAUAAUUUAGUGCACAAAAAAACCCUCCCUGGAAGGCCUUGAUUGAUCCUAACGGUUCAAUAUCAUUUUCUUAUAUUUUCCAUCCAAGAUUGGUAUUGGGUCGAGAUGAUUCCCCUGACACGGUCAAGGCCUUGAUUCUUAUAAGCUGUCGGAUGAAUUUGGUAUAAAAAUAAUUGAGAGAAGUUACAGAUUAAUCACUGGUGACAAGGGUUGAAAUUUUCAAGGUUCUUGGAUCGCAUUGCCGGCACAAUGUGACCAGGGCAAAUGUUUUCAACAUUCCUCGGUACAAGGUGACGAGAUACGUAUGAACAGAACGUAAACAAAGUGUUUCAAAAGAACAUCUUGACUUUAAAGUUGGUUAUACCAAGUAGAUCAUGUACUUUGGUACACGAUAAUUUAAGCAUUUCAGGGGAAAAAAACAUAUUGGUUUACUUCAAAGCUAGAUUGAACAAAGCAAAGCCCGAAGCCCUUCUUUUAUUCAUGUAAUUCGCUGAUUGCACAACGUAUUUAAUAUAAUACAAAUAAUAAGCUUAAUCUCUUUUUAGUAUCAGCUGUAUGGUCUAAAAUCAAUGUUUGGAGUACCGUAAGGCACACAGGCGCUACUAAUCGGAGGCUACUGUGAAAACAAAGUACGAAACUUUAGGCUUUUUAUGUACGUGUAUCAUGACCUUUCACAAGCUUAACCCCAAAAUCAAUGGUUGGAGUACCGUAAGGCACAUAGGCGCUAGUAAUCAGAGGCUACUGUGAAAACAAAGUAUGGAACUUUAGUCCUUUUAUGUACGUGUAUUCUGACCUUUCACAAGCUUAACCAUAUCGAUACCUUUAUUGCACUGUAGUCGCUGUAGGCUAAAGCAAAAUUCAUUUUUGUGAUUACAAUUUGUUCCUGUCAGGCGCUGGCGUGACGAGCCUGAGCUGUCACGCAAACGUCAAUUUAGAAGGAAGAAUUCCUUGUAUAAGUACAACCAACUUAAUAUAGCCCUUCAAAUAAAAGAACAAAUGUUUUCUGCUUUUCCACGGUUAUAUAAUGAUAAUCGGUGCUAUAGCAAAUCGAUUUUUUUUUAAUUUAGUUAGUAUGACUAUGGAAGUAUUUAGUUAUCCAAGUCUACCAUUUUACGUUUUUGUUGUAUGCUAUUUAUUGUACUUGUAACAAACUGUGAUAUGUACAUAGUUUAUUUAGGGCUUGGGAGGCGUGCUAAAAAUAUGGACGGUUGUACUCAAUUGAAUUUGUUAAUGUUUUUAAAGUUGCCUUUUUGGGAGUAAAUGAAUAAACGUAGUCACUGUGCACCGGUAAUGAAUA